UCCCUAUCUGAUGUGGGCGCAGGAUAUUUGAAGGAAGCUGUCCCUAGUACGAGAGGACCGGGAUGGCGGCACCUCCGGUGUUCCAGUUGUCCUGCCAAGGGCAACGCUGGGUAGCUGUGUGCCGAAGGGAUAACCGCUGAAAGCAUCUAAGUGGGAAGCCCCUCCUAAGAUAAGAUAUCCCGGGCCGCAAGGUCCCUAAAGGUCACUUGGAGACUACGAGUUUGAUAGGCCGGAUGUGUAAGUCCAGUAAUGGAUUGAGCUUACCGGUACUAAUUGACCGUGCGGCUUGACCAUA
rnacentral:rRNA from 1 species